rnacentral:misc_RNA from 1 species
UAAGCUGUGCCUGAAGAAUAUCGGAGUAGGGGAGAGAAAAACACUCAAAUGCUUCUAACGGAUGAGCAUUUGUGCAUUGAAGUGCAUGUAAUUCCGGUAAAUCCUUUGUUUUAUAAUAGAGUAAUUGCUGAUUGACACUGUCCAGAAUAAUACCUUGCGAACCGGAAAAGUUGAUACG